UACGUAGGUGGCAAGCGUUUGUCCGGAAUUAUUGGGCGUAAAGCGCGCGCAGGCGGCCUCUUAAGUCUGAUGUGAAAGCCCCCCGGCUCAACCGGGGAGGGCCAUUGGAAACUGGGAGGCUUGAGUAUAGGAGAGAAGAGUGGAAUUCCACGUGUAGCGGUGAAAUGCGUAGAGAUGAUGGAGGAACACCAGUGGCGAAGGCGACUCUUUGGCCUAUAACUGACGCUGAGGCGCGAAAGCGUGGGGAGCAAAACAGG
rnacentral:rRNA from 1 species